UACGUAGGGUGCAAGCGUUGUCCGGAAUUAUUGGGCGUAAAGAGCUCGUAGGCGGCCUGUCACGUCGACUGUGAAAACCCGGGGCUCAACUCCGGGCCUGCAGUCGAUACGGGCUGGCUUGAGUGCGGUAGGGGAGACUGGAAUUCCUGGUGUAGCGGUGAAAUGCGCAGAUAUCAGGAGGAACACCAGUGGCGAAGGCGGCUCUCUGUGCCCUACCUGACGCUGAGACGCGAAAGCGUGGGGAGCGAACCGG
rnacentral:rRNA from 1 species